GUAGCUAGGCAUUUUGCUGGAUUAAAGUGUAAUGUAAUUUGUUCCUCUGUGAAGUUAAGCAGCCUCAAGCUCGGGUAGUACUCGGGUGGGUGACCACCGGGGAAGUCCGGGUGCUGUCUACU
rfam:Phytophthora nicotianae strain race 0 contig3686, whole genome shotgun sequence.